GUAGUCAUAUGCUUGUCUCAAAGAUUAAGCCAUGCAUGUCUAAGUACACAUUUUUACACAAUGAAACUGCGAAUGGCUCAUUAAAUCAGCUAUGGUUCCUUAGAUCAUAGUUAUCCUACUUGGAUAACUGUAGUAAUUCUAGAGCUAAUACAUGCAACUAAGCCUGUCCUUUGCGGGACGGGCGCACUUAUUAGAUCAAAACCAACCGGACUUCGGUCUGACGGUUUGAUGACUCUGGAUAAUUUACCUGAUCGCACGGCCUUUGUGUCGGCGACGUAUCUUUCAAAUGUCUGCCCUAUCAACUUUUGAUGGUAGGUAAUUUGCCUACCAUGGUUAUGACGGGUAACGGGGAAUCAGGGUUCGAUUCCGGAGAGGGAGCCUGAGAAAUAGCUACCACAUCCAAGGAAGGCAGCAGGCGCGCAAAUUACCCACUCCCGAAACGGGGAGGUAGUGACGAUAAAUAACGAUGCGGGACUCAAUCGAGGCCCCGUAAUUGGAAUGAGUACACUUUAAAUCCUUUAACGAGGAUCAAUUGGAGGGCAAGUCUGGUGCCAGCAGCCGCGGUAAUUCCAGCUCCAAUAGCGUAUAUUAAAGUUGUUGCAGUUAAAAAGCUCGUAGUUGGAUCUCAGGAUUUGGAUGGAUGGUUCGCUUUCGGGCGCUACUAUCUGUCUGACCUACUCUAGUCGUGGAUGCCUUGGGUGCUCUUAAUUGAGUGCUUUUGGUGCCCGACGCAAUUACUUUGAAAAAAUUAGAGUGCUCAAAGCAGGCGUAUUGCCUGAAUAGUGUUGCAUGGAAUAAUGAAAUAGGAGUUUACUUCUAUUUUGUUGGUUUUCGGAGGUGAACUAAUGAUUAACAGGGACAGACGGGGGCAUUUGUAUGGAGGGGUUAGAGGUGAAAUUCUUGGAUCCUCUCCAGACAAACUACUGCGAAAGCAUUUGCCAGGAAUGUUUUCACUAAUCAAGAACGAAAGUCAGAGGUUCGAAGACGAUCAGAUACCGUCCUAGUUCUGACCAUAAAUGAUGCCAUCUAACAAUCCACGAAGUUUGCUUGUACGAACUCGUGGGCGGUCCCCGGGAAACCAAAGAUUUUGGGUUCCGGGGGAAGUAUGGUUGCAAAGCUGAAACUUAAAGGAAUUGACGGAAGGGCACCACCAGGAGUGGAGCCUGCGGCUUAAUUUGACCCAACACGGGAAACCUCACCCGGCCCGGACACUUUUAGGAUUGACAGAUUGAAGGCUCUUUCUUGAUCAAGUGGUUGGUGGUGCAUGGCCGUUCUUAGUUGGUGGAGCGAUUUGUCUGGUUAAUUCCGAUAACGAACGAGACUC
rnacentral:rRNA from 1 species